CCUACGGGGGGCAGCAGUGAGGAAUAUUGGUCAAUGGGCGCGAGCCUGAACCAGCCAAGUAGCGUGAAGGAUGACUGCCCUACGGGUUGUAAACUUCUUCUAUAAAGGAAUAAAGUGAGGCUCGUGUGCCUUUUUGUAUGUACUUUAUGAAUAAGGAUCGGCUAACUCCGCGCCAGCAGCCGCGGUAAUAUGGAGGAUCCGAGCGUUAUCCGGAUUUAUUGGGUUUAAAGGGAGCGUAGGUGGGUUGUUAAGUCAGUUGUGAAAGUUUGCGACUCAACCGUAAAAUUGCAAUUGAUACUGGCAGUCUAGAGUACAGUUGAGGUAGGCGGAAUUCGAGGUGUAGCGGUGAAAUGCUUAGAUAUCACGAAGAACUCCGAUUGCGAAGGCAGCUUACUAGACUGCCACUGACAUUGAUGCUCGAAAGUGUGGGGAUCAAACAGGAUUAGAUACCCUAGUAGUC
rnacentral:rRNA from 1 species